GGUUGAUCCUGCCAGUAGUCAUAUGCUUGUCCUAAAGAUUAAGCCAUGCAUGUCUAAGUAUAAACACGUUGUACUGUGAAACUGCGAAUGGCUCAUUAUAUCAGUUAUAAUUUAUUUGAUAGUCUCUUUACUACUUGGAUAACCGUGGUAAUUCUAGAGCUAAUACAUGCGAAAAGCCCGACUUUUUCGGAGGAAGGGCUGUAUUUAUUAGAUUAAAAACCGACACUGAAGCGGUGAUUCAUGAUAACUGUGCGGAUCGCAUGGCCUUGAGCCGGCGACGUUUCAUUCAAAUU
rnacentral:rRNA from 1 species